AUCAACGCUGGCGGCGUGCCUCAGACAUGCAAGUCGAACGCGAAAGUUCCCUUCGGGGAGCAAGUAGAGUGGCGCACGGGUGAGUAACACGUAGGUAAUCUACCUUUGGAUGGGGAAUAACAACCGGAAACGGUUGCUAAUACCGCAUAAUGCAGCGGCACCUAAUGGUGACAGUUGUUAAAGCGGGGGAUCGAAAGACCUCGCGUCUAAAGAGGAGCCUGCGGCGGAUUAGCUAGUUGGUAAGGUAAUGGCUUACCGAGGCUACGAUCCGUGACCGGCCUGAGAGGGCGGUCGGUCACACUGACACUGACAUACGGGUCAGACUCCUACGGGAGGCAGCAGUCGGGAAUUUUGGGCAAUGGGCGAAAGCCUGACCCAGCAACGCCGCGUGAAGGAUGAAAUCCCUCGGGAUGUAAACUUCGCAAGAACGGGAAGAAUAAGU
rnacentral:rRNA from 1 species